UGGGGAAUCUUGUGCAAUGGACGAAAGUCUGACACAGCCACGCCGCGUGCGGGAAGAAGGCCUUCGGGUUGUAAACCGCUUUCAGCAGGAACGAAAAUGACGGUACCUGCAGAAGAAGGAGCGGCCAACUACGUGCCAGCAGCCGCGGUGACACGUAGGCUCCAAGCGUUGUCCGGAUUUAUUGGGCGUAAAGAACUCGUAGGUGGUUUGUUACGUCGGAUGUGAAACUCUGGGGCUCAACCCCAGACCUGCAUCCGAUACGGGCAGACUAGAGUGUGGUAGGGGAGACUGGAAUUCCUGGUGUAGCGGUGGAAUGCGCAGAUAUCAGGAGGAACACCGGUGGCGAAGGCGGGUCUCUGGGCAGUAACUGACGCUGAGGAGCGAAAGCGUGGGGAGCGAACAGG
rnacentral:rRNA from 1 species